rnacentral:rRNA from 1 species
UUAGAGUUUGAUCCUGGCUCACGACGAACGCUGGCGGCGCGCCUAACACAUGCAAGUCGAACGAGAGAUGAGGAGUUUGCUCUUCAAAUCGAGUGGCGAACGGGUGAGUAACGCGUGAGGAACCUGCCUCAAAGAGGGGGACAACAGUUGGAAACGACUGCUAAUACCGCAUAAGCCCACGGCUCGGCAUCGAGCAGAGGGAAAAGGAGCAAUCCGCUUUGAGAUGGCCUCGCGUCCGAUUAGCUGGUUGGUGAGGUAACGGCCCACCAAGGCGACGAUCGGUAGCCGGACUGAGAGGUUGAACGGCCACAUUGGGACUGAGACACGGCCCAGACUCCUACGGGAGGCAGCAGUGGGGAAUAUUGCACAAUGGGGGAAACCCUGAUGCAGCGACGCCGCGUGGAGGAAGAAGGUCUUCGGAUUGUAAACUCCUGUUGUUGAGGAAGAUAAUGACGGUACUCAACAAGGAAGUGACGGCUAACUACGUGCCAGCAGCCGCGGUAAAACGUAGGUCACAAGCGUUGUCCGGAAUUACUGGGUGUAAAGGGAGCGCAGGCGGGAGAACAAGUUGGAAGUGAAAUCCAUGGGCUCAACCCAUGAACUGCUUUCAAAACUGUUUUUCUUGAGUAGUGCAGAGGUAGGCGGAAUUCCCGGUGUAGCGGUGGAAUGCGUAGAUAUCGGGAGGAACACCAGUGGCGAAGGCGGCCUACUGGGCACCAACUGACGCUGAGGCUCGAAAGUGUGGGUAGCAAACAGGAUUAGAUACCCUGGUAGUCAACACCGUAAACGAUGAUUACUAGGUGUUGGAGGAUUGACCCCUUCAGUGCCGCAGUUAACACAAUAAGUAAUCCACCUGGGGAGUACGACCGCAAGGUUGAAACUCAAAGGAAUUGACGGGGGCCCGCACAAGCAGUGGAGUAUGUGGUUUAAUUCGACGCAACGCGAAGAACCUUACCAAGUCUUGACAUCCCUUGACGAACAUAGAAAUAUGUUUUCUCUUCGGAGCAAGGAGACAGGUGGUGCAUGGUUGUCGUCAGCUCGUGUCGUGAGAUGUUGGGUUAAGUCCCGCAACGAGCGCAACCCUUAUGGUCAGUUACUACGCAAGAGGACUCUGGCCAGACUGCCGUUGACAAAACGGAGGAAGGUGGGGAUGACGUCAAAUCAUCAUGCCCUUUAUGACUUGGGCUACACACGUACUACAAUGGCGUUAAACAAAGAGAAGCAAGACCGCGAGGUGGAGCAAAACUCAGAAACAACGUCCCAGUUCGGACUGCAGGCUGCAACUCGCCUGCACGAAGUCGGAAUUGCUAGUAAUCGUGGAUCAGCAUGCCACGGUGAAUACGUUCNCCGGGCAUUGUACACAGCGCCCGUC